rnacentral:pre_miRNA from 1 species
UGACAUGGGAGGUAUUGGCGUGCCUCAAUCUGAAGACACGGCCGGAUAAUAUGCUCGAACGGGCCUUGUCUUUGGAUUGAGCCGCGUCAAUAUCUCCCUCCGUCAU